CACGGAGUUAGCCGGUGCUUAUUCACCCGGUACCGUCGAUUCCUCUCGCAAGAGUUUUUUCUUCCCGGGCAAAAGACGUUUACAACCCAGAAGGCCUUCAUCCGUCACGCGGCAUGGCUGGGUCAGGCUCGCGCCCAUUGCCCAAUAUUCCCUACUGCUGCCUCCCGUAGGAGUCUGGCCCGUAUCUCAGUGCCAGUGUGGGGGAUCGGCCUCUCAGCUCCCCUAGCCAUCGUCGCCUUGGUGCGCCGUUACCGCACCAACUAGCUAAUGGCACGCAGGCUCAUCUACUCCCGAAAUUCUUUAACUAUCAACCGAUGCCGGCCAAAAGUGUUAUGCGGUAUUAAUCCACCUUUCGGCGGGCUAUCCCCCAGGAGUAGGCAGAUUGCCUACGCGUUACGCACCCGUGCGCCACUGGGUAUUGCUACCCCGUUCGACUUGCAUGUAUUAGGCCUGCCGCUAGCGUUCAUCCUGAGCCAGGACUCAAACUCU
rnacentral:rRNA from 1 species